rnacentral:rRNA from 1 species
CCUACGGGAGGCAGCAGUGAGGAAUAUUGGUCAAUGGGCUAGAGCCUGAACCAGCCAAGUCGCGUGAAGGAUGACUGCCCUACGGGUUGUAAACUUCUUUUGUCAGGGAGCAAUGUGGGCCACGUGUGGCCGUACCGAGAGUACCUGAAGAAAAAGCAUCGGCUAACUCCGUGCCAGCAGCCGCGGUAAUACGGAGGAUGCGAGCGUUAUCCGGAUUUAUUGGGUUUAAAGGGUGCGUAGGCGGAAUGUCAAGUCAGCGGUAAAAAUUCGGGGCUCAACCUCGUUGUGCCGUUGAAACUGGCGGUCUUGAGUGGGCGAGAAGUAUGCGGAAUGCGUGGUGUAGCGGUGAAAUGCAUAGAUAUCACGCAGAACUCCGAUUGCGAAGGCAGCUUACUAAACUGCCACUGACAUUGAUGCUCGAAAGUGUGGGUAUCAAACAGGAUUAGAUACCCGUGUAGUC